rnacentral:rRNA from 1 species
GACGAACGCUGGCGGCGUGCUUAACACAUGCAAGUCGAACGGAAAGGCCCUGCUUUUGUGGGGUGCUCGAGUGGCGAACGGGUGAGUAACACGUGAGUAACCUGCCCUUGACUUUGGGAUAACUUCAGGAAACUGGGGCUAAUACCGGAUAGGAGCUCCUGCUGCGCGGUGUGGGUUGGAAAGUUUCGGCGGUUGGGGAUGGGCUCGCGGCUUAUCAGCUUGUUGGUGGGGUAGUGGCUUACCAAGGCUUUGACGGGUAGCCGGCCUGAGAGGGUGACCGGCCACAUUGGGACUGAGAUACGGCCCAGACUCCUACGGGAGGCAGCAGUGGGGAAUAUUGCACAAUGGGCGGAAGCCUGAUGCAGCAACGCCGCGUGCGGGAUGACGGCCUUCGGGUUGUAAACCGCUUUCGCCUGUGACGAAGCGUGAGUGACGGUAAUGGGUAAAGAAGCACCGGCUAACUACGUG